rnacentral:rRNA from 1 species
GAUGAACGCUGGCGGCGCGCCUAACACAUGCAAGUCGAACGGUUAAAGCACCUUUUAGGUGUGUAUAAAGUGGCGAACGGCUGAGUAACACGUGGGCAACCUGCCCUCCUCUUGGGGAUAGCCUCGGGAAACCGAGGAUAAUACCCGAUACUUCAAUGUGGCCGCAUGACGACAUUGAGAAAGCUUUUGCGGAGAAGGAUGGGCCCGCGGCCUGUUAGCUUGUUGGUGGGGUAGAGGCCUACCAAGGCAAUGAUGGGUAGCUGGGUUGAGAGACCGACCAGCCAGAUUGGGACUGAGACACGGCCCAGACUCCUACGGGAGGCAGCAGUGGGGAAUCUUGCACAAUGGGCGAAAGCCUGAUGCAGCGAUGCCGCGUGCGGGACGAAGGCCUUCGGGUUGUAAACCGCUUUCAGCAGGGACGAGGCGAUAAGUGACGGUACCUGCAGAAGAAGCCCCGGCUAACUACGUG